ACUCCUACGGGAGGCAGCAGUAAGGAAUAUUGGGCAAUGGGCGCAAGCCUGACCCAGCCAUCCCGCGUGCAGGAAGAAGGCCCUAUGGGUCGUAAACUGCUUUUGUUUGAGAAGAACAGGACGCAUUUAUGCGUUUGUGACGGUAUCUUACGAAUAAGCACCGGCUAACUCCGUGCCAGCAGCCGCGGUAAU
rnacentral:rRNA from 1 species